AUUGAACGCUGGCGGCAUGCCUUACACAUGCAAGUCGAACGGUAACGGGCCUUCGGGUGCCGACGAGUGGCGAACGGGUGAGUAAUACAUCGGAACGUGCCCGAUCGUGGGGGAUAACGAGGCGAAAGCUUUGCUAAUACCGCAUACGAUCUACGGCUGAAAGCAGGGGACGGCAAGGCCUUGCGCGGACGGAGCGGCCGAUGGCAGAUUAGGUAGUUGGGGGGAUAAAAGCUUACCAAGCCGACGAUCUGUAGCUGGUCUGAGAGGAUGAUCAGCCACACGGGGACUGAGACACGGCCCAGACUCCUACGGGAGGCAGCAGUGGGGAAUUUUGGACAAUGGGCGCAAGCCUGAUCCAGCCAUGCCGCGUGCAGGAUGAAGGCCUUCGGGUUGUAAACUGCUUUUGUACGGAACGAAAAGCCUUCUUCUAAUACAGGAGGGUCAUGACGGUACCGUAAGAAUAAGCACCGGCUAACUACGUGCCAGCCGCCGCUGUAA
rnacentral:rRNA from 1 species